rnacentral:rRNA from 1 species
UACGGAGGGGGCUAGCGUUGUUCGGAAUUACUGGGCGUAAAGCGCACGUAGGCGGCUUUGUAAGUUAGAGGUGAAAGCCCCGGAGCUCAACUCCGGAAUUGCCUUUAAGACUGCAUCGCUAGAAUCAUGGAGAGGUGAGUGGAAUUCCGAGUGUAGAGGUGAAAUUCGUAGAUAUUCGGAAAGAACACCAGUGGCGAAGGCGACUCACUGGACAUGUAUUGACGCUGAGGUGCGAAAGCGUGGGGAGCAAAC